GGGGAGCAAUGCCAAACGCGGAAGUGGAGCUCUGGCUUCCCGGGGGCGUCGGAGUCAAGGUCCCUGGAGCUGCCGCUCUGGCUCCUGGGCGAUUCCGGGGAGCCAUUCUCCCCAAUUUGCCAACUCCCUGGGCAUCUCUCUCUCUCUUCCUGGUCCCGCCACACCCAAACAACUCUUAUAGUUCCACCCGGUAUACUGGUCUCUUGACAGGAACUUUUGGGAAAUGCCCCUCCCCCAGCCCCUUGUCUGGGGCAACUUCCUUGUCUCUUCUCCCCCACCGGUGUUGGGGAGUUCCUUGUCUCCACUCCCAACCACAGAGCCACAAGUACAUUAUCUAUGCCCAGGCGAGUCCCUAUGCCCAGGCUAGGAGAGCCGCACUUCUUCCUACAGCUGACACGUUUGGUUUUUGGAGGGGAAAGGGGAGCUGUAGCUGAAUCAGUAAUGGAAAUUGAUGAACCUGUGAUGUGACUCCUGGGAGUAGUUUGCAAUCACCAUUGGCCCAAAAGGAGCCAUCUACGUGCUCAGUGGGGUCUAGUAAAGGAUAAUAUUAAUUCUUCAGCAGCCAGAGCUUUUGAAGUAGGAACUGAGGGUGUAUAGAAAAGAGCCUGGUAUGAUUCAAGGUCAGGAGCAAACAAUGGCUGCCUUCUUGGUAAGAAUUCAAAAGACCUACUUAGCCCUGGAAGACUUUACCAAAAAGAAGGGACUUGUAGAGACCUGAGAGAAAGCAGAUGAUCCUCCACUCUAAUUCUAAUCCCUACCCUUGAAACUCACUCUCAGUUCAAAACUUGUCAUCAUUAUAAUCCAUCCUAACCUAGUAUUAGCCCCAAUGUCCAAUCCAAACUCUAGAUUUAAUUCUAAUCCUAAUAUUAUCUGUAAAAUUUAAUCUCAGUUCCCAACUCUAGUUUUAUGAGCUUAACAAAGGCUCUUUGCCUUGCCACUGAGUUAUUUUCCCUAGCUCCUUUUUCUUGGGUCCCUUGACCCUGACUGACGAAUGAGAGCAGAGAACCCUAUAACAUCCUGGACCUCUGGAGAGAAUGAGAGCCAAUUUCAAUAAUCCAGGUUGGAUCCAAGGCCUUGGGCUGCCAGGAAAGAGAAAGUGGGGCAUCUGUGACCAGAGCAGGAGGCAGAGACCCUGCCCAGUCACAUUUCUUGUUGCCUAAUUCAGGGACUACUAAGCCUCUGAAAGUCCAGAAUACAUGCACUCCAAGUCACCUAUGUAGACUCAGGAAUGUGAGGUACAGUUGGCCUACAGUGGAAGACCUGAGACCCCUCUGCAAAACAAUAUGGUUAGAUUAGACGAGUGACCCCUCUGCAAAACAAUAUGGUUAGAUUAGACGAGUGGCUUUUACGCUAUGUUCUCAGAGAGCAAGAAUUCUGAGUUUUGCUCUCCUCUUUCAUUUGAAUUUGGCUUUCCAAGGGGAUGAGAAAUUUUUUUUCAAAAGGCAUUGAACGAGAUCCUCUCUAAGGUUCCUUCUGGCCCUUGAGUUUUCUGAUGUGCAGUUGAUUCUUUUAGUCACUUAUGGUCCAGUUGGCAU
rnacentral:lncRNA from 1 species